AAUUCUAGAGCAGUGCUGUCCAACAGAACUUUGACAAUGGACACGUUCUAUAUCUGUGCUGUCCAACAUGGUAACUAGUAACCACUGGCUACUGACUACUUGAAAUGUGAAUAGCUUGACUGAGGAACUCAAUUUUAAAUUUUAUAUUUUAAUUUAAACAGCCACAAGUAUCUAGUGACUACACUGUGAAAUAGGACAGCUCAAGAGGAAAAAUAAGCCAAGAUUCUGAUGUCCUUUGAACUUUGUUCUUUGAUAAAAGUUGGGCAAAAAACACAUGCCACACACAACUGUGGACCUGAGAUGUGAGACUCGUGAUAGUUCUGGAGAGAGCUUCCUGCCCUAUGCCAAAAAAGGAAGACAACUGUUCAAACUGACCAGGAGGCAAAAUAUUUCCAUGGCUGUGUCUCUGAGUCUGAGUAAAUUUUUGGUGCCUCUCCAUUACAACUAGCUGGUUUGUAUUGCAUUCAUGUUACUGAGAUCACUCUUCUUUCAUAACUCAAAUACAUAAAAAAUAAAAUAUGCGGCUCAAUGGGUUUCA
rnacentral:lncRNA from 1 species